rnacentral:rRNA from 1 species
AACGAACGCUGGCGGCAUGCCUAACACAUGCAAGUCGAACGAAGCCUUCGGGCUUAGUGGCGCACGGGUGCGUAACGCGUGGGAAUCUGCCCUUGGGUUCGGAAUAACAGUUAGAAAUGACUGCUAAUACCGGAUGAUGUCUUCGGACCAAAGAUUUAUCGCCCAGGGAUGAGCCCGCGUAGGAUUAGGUAGUUGGUGGGGUAAUGGCCCACCAAGCCGACGAUCCUUAGCUGGUCUGAGAGGAUGAUCAGCCACACUGGGACUGAGACACGGCCCAGACUCCUACGGGAGGCAGCAGUGGGGAAUAUUGGACAAUGGGCGAAAGCCUGAUCCAGCAAUGCCGCGUGAGUGAUGAAGGCCUUAGGGUUGUAAAGCUCUUUCAGCCGGGAAGAAAACGCAUGGGUUAAUACCCUGUGUGGAUGACGGUACCGGAAUAAGAAGCACCGGCUAACUACGUGCCAGCAGCCGCGGUAAUGUACAGUGU